CCGGAAGACUGAGACAAGGGCGAAACUAGUCGGACGCCGUUGUUGUUGAGAAUGUGUCGGUCAUGUGUUAGUUUUCUGCUGUUAUCCAUCAACGAAACCGUUUUGUCCUCCACUUUCCUUUACAUCUCGUAGACGAAAACGUAGUAUUCUGUAAGUCCAACAGAAAAUUCACGUUAUUAAGUUAAGAAUAGACUAAAAACGAUUAUGUUCCUUGUCAGACUUAGAACAAAUAUUUUAGUUGAUAGGUCUGAUUAAUUCGAUCUUCUUUUAUACGGGUUUCCUUUAGGAAUGUCGGUGAUCUUUGUUGUUACGAACGUAGUCAUAUUAUCGUAGUUUUAUAGUUUUAAGCAAUACGUAUCGUCCGUCCAGGUUAAUAAUUCCUCUUCGUUUCUCUUCGAAUUUUCUUUAGGAAUGACGACCGCGG
rnacentral:rRNA from 1 species